UUGGAUACAACUAAGGAGUAGAAAAACCCUAAGUUUCACUUUGACACCCACCUUUCUCCCGAAUCUCUCUUACCGAACCCUACUCAUGCAUAGUCUUCUCCUCCCGAAUCCCUCUCACGCUUACAUACUUGUCUCCUCAUCUCAGCUCACGCCCUCUCUGGUGAACCCCUCUCCAGCGAACCCCUCUCCGGCGAACUCCUCUCCAUCUAAUGAUACUCUACCGAAUCCCUCUCCCACUGAACCUAAAAUCUAGCUUCUGGAUUCAGGAGACAUCAUCUCUUCAUGCUGCAGAUUUCUCCCGAUCAAGAGCAGUGCUACAGCCGACUUCAUCAAUCGAAAACCUCUUCGUCGGCAGAUCUCUUGCCGAAGAAGCUUCAUCCGGCCAUCCCACACAACUUCUUCGUCACCAGCAUAACUCAACCCACUCAAUCCGGAUCACACUCGCAUUCCCUCUCUGAUCAUCUCUCAUCCGUAGCUCUUCUUCUGAGAAUCAGACAACAAUCGUCUCUCAGUUCAAGCCGUCCAAGCUCCUCAGAUCAGUUCCAUCUGAAACUUCCAACAAUAACCUUCAAGAUCCAGAUAGCAUUGAUAUUUUGAAGAUGAAUGGAGGUAUUCAAAAACUCUAGCUAAAUAGCUUCGGUAUGGAUGAUUACAAGACCAUCAACUACAUGCUAUGUGGCAUUGCAUCCGAACCUCAGCGGUGCGACUGGGAAGUAUUUCGACAAAGAACUAUAAGAAGGCUUUGGGAUUUAAGCGAGAAGAUGGUUAAAGCCAAUGAAUAAAGAACAUUCAAGUCAAGAGGAUAAGUAGUAUCUAUCAAGAUCCUUUAAGUUCAUGUAAUAAGAUAUAGUCGAUAGGAGUAGUUUUGAGUGUCUCCUAAUUAAAAUUUAUUUGUAUGCGAGUAAUUAUGUUUGUUAUAGAAGUGUAAGGAAGAUAAUUUAUAUAUUUAUCUUGGAUGUUCAUUUAAUAAUA